UUUCUCUUCCUACCCACCUGCCUAGGCCAUGCCUCUCCUCUUCCUCCCCAUGCUGAUCCUGCUCACUCAGCCUACAAGGUCACUGGAAACAGAAAUGAAGACCUAUUCCCAGAAAACAGUGCCCAAUGCCUGCACCCUGGUCGUGUGUAGCCCCGUGGAGAAUGGCCUCCCUGGUCGUGAUGGACGAGAUGGGAGAGAGGGUCCCCAGGGCGAGAAAGGGGAUCCAGGGCCUGCAGGACCCAUGGGCCCACAGGGGCCUCCAGGUGCCAGGGGUCCCCCAGGACUGAAGGGGGACAGAGGAGCAAAAGGAGAGAGUGGGCUUCCAGACAUCACUGCUCUGAGGAGGCAGGUGGAAGCCCUACAGGGACAGGUACAGCGUCUUCAGGGUGCCUUCUCUCUGUACAGGAAAGUGGGUCUGUUUCCUGAUGGCCGAGUUGUUGGAGAGAAGAUAUUCAAGACAGGAGGCUUUGAAAAAUCUUUUCAGGAUGCACAGCAAGUAUGCAGACAGGCCGGGGGUCAGUUGCCCUCCCCACGCUCUGCAGCUGAGAAUGAGGCCUUGCAACAGCUGGUCGCAGCUCAGAACAAGGCUGCGUUCCUGAGCAUGACUGACUCCCAGACAGAGGGCAAGUUCACCUACCCCACAGGGGAGUCCCUGGUGUAUUCCAACUGGGCCCCGGGGGAGCCCAACGACAGUGGUGGGGAAGAGGACUGUGUGGAAAUCUUCGACAAUGGAAAGUGGAACGAUAAGUCCUGUGGAGAGAAGCGCCUUGUGAUCUGUGAGUUCUGAGCCACCCAAGGUGGAUGGGGCACUCAUGGCCCAGCAAAUACUCAUGGAGCACUUACUGGCCCAGGAGCCUGGCCAGCAAGUUAGGGCCCAGACCUGUGAGCUGCCAACAUCCCAGCAAGAAGAUGACACCUCUGCUGGCCAUGGCUUCUCCACAGAGCCAUGGGAUGAGGCCAGAGGUAGGGCUCCUGUGGAACACCUCUCUCAGAAUAAAAUAUGAAUCUGGCAUCACA